rnacentral:rRNA from 1 species
AGUGGCGAACGGGUGAGUAACAUAUCGGAACAUAUCCGGAAGUGGGGGAUAACGUAGCGAAAGUUACGCUAAUACCGCAUAUGCCCUGAGGGGGAAAGGAGGGGAUCGUAAGACCUUUCGCUUUCGGAGUGGCCGAUAUCAGAUUAGCUUGUUGGUGAGGUAAAGGCUCACCAAGGCGACGAUCUGUAGCUGGUCUGAGAGGACGACCAGCCACACUGGGACUGAGACACGGCCCAGACUCCUACGGGAGGCAGCAGUGGGGAAUUUUGGACAAUGGGCGCAAGCCUGAUCCAGCCAUGCCGCGUGAGUGAAGAAGGCCUUCGGGUUGUAAAGCUCUUUCAGCCGGAAAGAAAUCGCCAUUCCUAAUACGAGUGGUGGAUGACGGUACCGGAAGAAGAAGCACCGGCUAACUACGUGCCAGCAGCCGCGGUAAUACGUAGGGUGCGAGCGUUAAUCGGAAUUACUGGGCGUAAAGCGUGCGCAGGCGGUUUUGUAAGACAGACGUGAAAUCCCCGGGCUUAACCUGGGAACUGCGUUUGUGACUGCAAGGCUAGAGUAUGGCAGAGGGGGGUAGAAUUCCACGUGUAGCAGUGAAAUGCGUAGAGAU